rnacentral:rRNA from 1 species
GUCCACGCCGUAAACGAUGAAUGCUAGGUGUCGGGAGUCGAAUCUCGGUGCCGCAGUUAACGCAAUAAGCAUUCCACCUGGGGAGUACGAUCGCAAGAUUGAAACUCAAAGGAAUUGACGGGGGCCCGCACAAGCGGUGGAGCAUGUGGUUUAAUUCGAAGCAACGCGAAGAACCUUACCAAAUCUUGACAUCCCUUUGACCGGUCUUUAACAGGACCUUCUCUUCGGAGCAAAGGUGACAGGUGGUGCAUGGUUGUCGU